GCUUGUCUCAAAGAUUAAGCCAUGCAUGUCUGAGUAUAAAUGCGUUUAUAGUGAAACUGCAAGGGCUCAUUAAAUCAGCUAUUGUUUCUUUGAUGGGUGUGACCAAGGAUACCUCUGGUAAUUCUAGAGCUAAUACUUGCGCAAGGCGGCGUAGCUGCGUAUUUAUUAGAUACGACCAGGUACUGGUGAGUCAUGAUAACUGCUCGAAUCGCAUGGUCUUGCACCGGCGAUGCAUCAUUCAAAUAUCUGCCCUAUCAACUUUCGAUGGGAGGGUAGUGGCCUCCCAUGGUGACAACGGGUACGGGCGAUUAGGGUCGAAUUGCCGGAGAGGGAGCCUGAGAAACGGCUACCACAUCCAAGGAAGGCAGCAGG
rnacentral:rRNA from 1 species